UGGGGAAUUUUGGACAAUGGGCGAAAGCCUGAUCCAGCAAUGCCGCGUGUGUGAAGAAGGCCUUCGGGUUGUAAAGCACUUUUGUCCGGAAAGAAAUCCUCUGGGGUUAAUACCCUCGGGGGGAUGACGGUACCGGAAGAAUAAGCACCGGCUAACUACGUGCCAGCAGCCGCGGUAAUACGUAGGGUGCAAGCGUUAAUCGGAAUUACUGGGCGUAAAGCGUGCGCAGGCGGUUUUUGUAAGACGGAUGUGAAAUCCCCGGGCUUAACCUGGGAACUGCAUUCGUGACUGCAAGGCUAGAGUAUGGCAGAGGGGGGUAGAAUUCCACGUGUAGCAGUGAAAUGCGUAGAGAUGUGGAGGAAUACCGAUGGCGAAGGCAGCCCCCUGGGCCAAUACUGACGCUCAUGCACGAAAGCGUGGGGAGCAAACAGGAUUAGAUACCCUGGUAGUCCACGCCCUAAACGAUGUCAACUAGUUGUUGGGGAUUCAUUUCCUUAGUAACGUAGCUAACGCGUGAAGUUGACCGCCUGGGGAGUACGGUCGCAAGAUUAAAACUUAAAGGAAUUGAC
rnacentral:rRNA from 1 species